ACCUGGGUAGCUCAGUGGGUUAAAGUGUCUGACUCUUGAUUUCAGGGUUUGUGGGAUCCAGUCCUACUUCAGGCU
rnacentral:tRNA from 1 species